rnacentral:rRNA from 1 species
CAACGAAUAUUCCGCAAUGGACGAAAGUCUGACGGAGCGACGCCGCGUGCAGGAUGAAGUCCCUCGGGAUGUAAACUGCUGUCAGGGGUCAGAAAGAAAGUGAUCAACCCCAGAGGAAGCAUCGGCUAACUCCGUGCCAGCAGCCGCGGUAAUACGGAGGAUGCGAGCGUUGUUCGGAAUCACUGGGCUUAAAGCGCGUGCAGGCGGAAUGUCAGGUGUCUUGUGAAAGCCCCCGGCUCAACCGGGGAAUUGCUUGGCAAACCGACAUUCUUGAGGCAGGUAGAGGCGAUCGGAACCUUCGGUGGAGAGGUGAAAUUCGUAGAUAUCGAAGGGAACGCCGGUGGCGAAAGCGGAUCGCUGGGCCUGUCCUGACGCUCAGACGCGAAAGCGUAGGGAGCGAACGGGAUUAGAUACCCCCGUAGUCC